rnacentral:tRNA from 1 species
CGUGGGGUGGAGCAGUGGUAGCUCGUCGGGUUCAUACCCCGAAGGUCGCAGGUUCGAGUCCUGCCCCCGCAA